ACUAGGACCCGGCAGUAGUGUAGAGUGCACUAGGUGGCGAGUCUCGAGUCUCUUGAGUUAUGUAAUUCCUGAGGACACAGAGGCUGUUGCUUCAUUUCUAAAGUUGGACUGUCUAGUAGUCUUUGCCUGCCUUUCUUUACAAAGUUCAGUUGACAGCAUGUCUGGGAUAGCACGUAUGGAAACGUGAUUGUUUUGCAACGGAAUUUUACUAUGCGAAACUUGCCAAAUAGUACUCAGAGCUCGGGGGCAGGGCUACAGAAUGAAUGACGUUGGAGCCUGCCAAAUGGGAAGAUGCUUCCAGUCUAGCAAUGGAAGAAGAUAGAUAUGUAUGGCUCCCAGUUUUCCAACUCUGAAGUGUUUUCCAGUCGAAACAAAGAGAAGGUUUGUGGAUGUUGAAUAUGCAAGGAGCUGAAGAGAGAGUGCUUGGAAGAGAGGUUUGUCCAGGUUUGAUGGAAAAGUCUGUUCCAGAGGAGGAUGUCUCUGAAAUUGAUUCACCAGGGAGAGUAGCAAAGAGAUUACCAGAGGAUGCAAACCAGGGUUCUGUAUUUGAAAAAAAAUACACAUGUGAAAGCAUGAAGGAAAACCCUUCUGGAGAGGUUCCCAGACCAUGCCUUUUCCAGGAAGGAGGUUUUGAGGAAAUAACUUUUAUCCACAAGGAAGCAUCUCCUGAAACAAUUAGCCAAGAAUAUGAUUUUGAGAGAAGCUUGCUCUUGACCUCCAGCUUUGUUACACAUCUUAGGGUUUCUACAGAAGAGAGCCUACAUCAGUGGGAGACAAGUAGUAUACACACUGAUGAGAUUUCAGACCAAAGUAAAUGCCCAGCUCUCUCUACUCAGAAAAAGUCUUGGGAAUGUAAUGAAUGUGGAAAAACUUUUACUCAGAGCUCAUCCCUUACCCAGCAUCAGAGGACUCAUACUGGAGAGAGACCCUAUGCAUGUGAGGAAUGUGGGAAAGCCUUUAGUCGCAGUUCCUUCCUCGUUCAGCAUCAAAGAAUUCACACCGGAGUAAAACCAUAUGGAUGUGAGCAGUGUGGGAAAACAUUUCGAUGUCGAUCAUUUCUUACUCAGCAUCAGAGAAUCCAUACUGGAGAGAAACCUUAUAAAUGUAGUGAAUGUGGGAAUUCCUUCCGCAAUCAUUCGCAUCUCACUGAACAUCAGAGAAUUCACACUGGAGAGAAACCGUACAAAUGUAAUAGAUGUGGGAAGGCAUUUAAUCAGAACACACACCUCAUUCAUCAUCAGAGGAUUCACACUGGUGAGAAACCUUAUUUAUGCAAUGAAUGUGGCUCUUCUUUUCGCAAACAUUCAAAUCUCACACAACAUCAGAGAAUUCACACUGGGGAUAAACCCCAUAAAUGUGAUGAGUGUGGGAAAACUUUCCAAACAAAGGCAAACCUCUCUCAGCAUCAGAGAAUUCAUACUGGAGAGAAACCCUAUAAAUGUAAGGAGUGUGGCAAAGCCUUUUGUCAGAGCCCAUCCCUUAUUAAACACCAGAGAAUUCAUACUGGAGAAAAACCCUAUAAAUGUAAGGAAUGUGGCAAAGCUUUUACUCAGAGUACCCCACUCACUAAGCAUCAGAGAAUUCAUACAGGGGAGAGACCCUACAAAUGCAGUGAAUGUGGUAAAGCCUUCAUUCAGAGCAUUUGCCUCAUUCGGCAUCAGAGAAGUCACACUGGAGAAAAACCCUAUAAAUGCAAUGAAUGUGGGAAGGGCUUUAAUCAGAAUACCUGCCUCACUCAGCAUAUGAGAAUUCAUACUGGAGAGAAACCCUAUAAAUGUAAAGAAUGUGGGAAGGCCUUUGCCCAUAGCUCAUCUCUUACUGAACAUCACAGAACUCACACUGGUGAGAAGCUCUAUAAAUGUAGUGAAUGUGAGAAAACUUUCCGCAAGUAUGCACACCUUAGUGAACAUUACAGGAUUCAUACUGGUGAGAAGCCUUACGAAUGCAUUGAAUGUGGAAAAUUCUUCAGACAUAGUUCAGUCCUUUUCAGACAUCAGAAACUUCACAAUGGUGAAUAACCCUGGCAUUCAGCUUAUAUCUGUAGUGAAUGUGGAAAAUUCUUUACUCAGAGAUCAUCUCUUACCCAGCAUCAGAGGAUUCACACGGGAGAGAAGCCCUAUGUGUGUAGUGAAUGUGGAACUUGUUUCCGUAAACAGUCAAAUCUUACUCAACAUUUGAGGAUUCACACAGGAGAGAAACCGUAUAAAUGUAAUGAAUGUGAGAAAGCCUUUCAAACGAAAGCAAUCCUUGUCCAGCAUCUGAGAAUUCAUACUGGAGAGAAACCCUAUAAAUGCACCGAAUGUGGCAAAGCCUUUUGUCAGAGUCCAUCCCUUAUCAAACACCUGCGAAUUCAUACUGGAGAGAAACCCUAUAAAUGCACUGAAUGUGGCAAAGCCUUUAGUCAAAGCGUUUGCCUUACCCGUCACCAGAGAAGUCACUCUGGAGAUAAACCUUAUAAGUGUAACGAAUGUGGGAAAGCCUUUAACCAGACUGCAUGCCUCAUGCAGCAUCAGAGAAUUCAUUCAGGAGAGAAGCCUUACGCAUGCGUGGAAUGCGGUAAAGCCUUCACUCAGAGCUCCUCCCUUGUUGAACAUGAGAGAACUCACACUGGAGAGAAACUUUACAAGUGUAGCGAGUGUGAAAAAACUUUCCGCAAACAGGCACACCUUAGCGAACAUUACAGAAUUCAUACCGGAGAAAAACCUUACGAAUGUGCUGAAUGUGGGAAAUCCUUCAGGCACAGCUCGGCGCUUGUUCGACAUCAGAGGCUUCAUGCUGGAGAAUAAAACCUGAAAAAGUCUUGGGAAUGUAAUGAAUGUGGAAAAACUUUUACUCAGAGCUCAUCCCUUACCCAGCAUCAGAGGACUCAUACUGGAGAGAGACCCUAUGCAUGUGAGGAAUGUGGGAAAGCCUUUAGUCGCAGUUCCUUCCUCGUUCAGCAUCAAAGAAUUCACACCGGAGUAAAACCAUAUGGAUGUGAGCAGUGUGGGAAAACAUUUCGAUGUCGAUCAUUUCUUACUCAGCAUCAGAGAAUCCAUACUGGAGAGAAACCUUAUAAAUGUAGUGAAUGUGGGAAUUCCUUCCGCAAUCAUUCGCAUCUCACUGAACAUCAGAGAAUUCACACUGGAGAGAAACCGUACAAAUGUAAUAGAUGUGGGAAGGCAUUUAAUCAGAACACACACCUCAUUCAUCAUCAGAGGAUUCACACUGGUGAGAAACCUUAUUUAUGCAAUGAAUGUGGCUCUUCUUUUCGCAAACAUUCAAAUCUCACACAACAUCAGAGAAUUCACACUGGGGAUAAACCCCAUAAAUGUGAUGAGUGUGGGAAAACUUUCCAAACAAAGGCAAACCUCUCUCAGCAUCAGAGAAUUCAUACUGGAGAGAAACCCUAUAAAUGUAAGGAGUGUGGCAAAGCCUUUUGUCAGAGCCCAUCCCUUAUUAAACACCAGAGAAUUCAUACUGGAGAAAAACCCUAUAAAUGUAAGGAAUGUGGCAAAGCUUUUACUCAGAGUACCCCACUCACUAAGCAUCAGAGAAUUCAUACAGGGGAGAGACCCUACAAAUGCAGUGAAUGUGGUAAAGCCUUCAUUCAGAGCAUUUGCCUCAUUCGGCAUCAGAGAAGUCACACUGGAGAAAAACCCUAUAAAUGCAAUGAAUGUGGGAAGGGCUUUAAUCAGAAUACCUGCCUCACUCAGCAUAUGAGAAUUCAUACUGGAGAGAAACCCUAUAAAUGUAAAGAAUGUGGGAAGGCCUUUGCCCAUAGCUCAUCUCUUACUGAACAUCACAGAACUCACACUGGUGAGAAGCUCUAUAAAUGUAGUGAAUGUGAGAAAACUUUCCGCAAGUAUGCACACCUUAGUGAACAUUACAGGAUUCAUACUGGUGAGAAGCCUUACGAAUGCAUUGAAUGUGGAAAAUUCUUCAGACAUAGUUCAGUCCUUUUCAGACAUCAGAAACUUCACAAUGGUAAGAAACCUUCAAAGUGUAGUGAAUGUGGAAAAUUCUUUACUCAGAGAUCAUCUCUUACCCAGCAUCAGAGGAUUCACACGGGAGAGAAGCCCUAUGUGUGUAGUGAAUGUGGAACUUGUUUCCGUAAACAGUCAAAUCUUACUCAACAUUUGAGGAUUCACACAGGAGAGAAACCGUAUAAAUGUAAUGAAUGUGAGAAAGCCUUUCAAACGAAAGCAAUCCUUGUCCAGCAUCUGAGAAUUCAUACUGGAGAGAAACCCUAUAAAUGCACCGAAUGUGGCAAAGCCUUUUGUCAGAGUCCAUCCCUUAUCAAACACCUGCGAAUUCAUACUGGAGAGAAACCCUAUAAAUGCACUGAAUGUGGCAAAGCCUUUAGUCAAAGCGUUUGCCUUACCCGUCACCAGAGAAGUCACUCUGGAGAUAAACCUUAUAAGUGUAACGAAUGUGGGAAAGCCUUUAACCAGACUGCAUGCCUCAUGCAGCAUCAGAGAAUUCAUUCAGGAGAGAAGCCUUACGCAUGCGUGGAAUGCGGUAAAGCCUUCACUCAGAGCUCCUCCCUUGUUGAACAUGAGAGAACUCACACUGGAGAGAAACUUUACAAGUGUAGCGAGUGUGAAAAAACUUUCCGCAAACAGGCACACCUUAGCGAACAUUACAGAAUUCAUACCGGAGAAAAACCUUACGAAUGUGCUGAAUGUGGGAAAUCCUUCAGGCACAGCUCGGCGCUUGUUCGACAUCAGAGGCUUCAUGCUGGAGAAUAA